UGUGUGUGUGAGGGAGGGAGGGCAGUACCUUACAAUACAAUUAAUUGUGAGAUAUUAUUUGGGACUGGAAAUAUGACAGAAAAACUCUUGGGCUAAUUUUGAUACACUCGAAAGUUCUUCUGAUUAAGUUAUUGUAUAAUCAAUUGAUCCUCAUACCUUGUUUCAAUAUUACAUCUGUUACAUAUAGUAAUGUUUUUCUUUUCCUGAUGUACAUGGUCAAGCAUGCUGAUGUCUGGGCUAAAGAGCUAGGUCUUAGUAAUGUGUAAGUGCCCAGACCAUUCUUCAGGAGAAAGCGUCAUACGAGACGGGUUGUACGAAAGCCUUUAGUAGAGUCCAUUGUGAACAAUUAAGUUCGGAGCAUCCAGGGGAAUUACUGCAAUCAUUCCAAGUUUCAUUGAGUACAUCAAGCAACUUAGAUGCUUAUGCAGAAAAUUAAAGCAAUACAGGCCUGUCCGCUUUAGAUUGAUUUGAAAAAAAUUGUCUGUAUUUAUUAUUGAAGACUAGUAAUAUGUAGAUUCUUGUUGCAAAAGAAGUUUUAUCUACAGUGAUGAAGGGUAGCUGUUGAGAAGCUCAAGAUCCUUAGAUUUGGAUUAUUUUGAGUUGGAUUUGUAAAUGAUAUGCAACACUUUACUUGCUUUUCAAAAAGCAUUAAAGGCCAUUUGACCAGCUACAUGGUACAAGACAAAAGUACUUGUGGCUGUAGAAUGUCACAAUUCGGCCAAAUGUAGUUUGAAAAGUAUUUAUAGAAAUAAAAAUGCAAAUAUUAUUGUUGGAUA